CAGCCCAGUGAUGAUCACUAUUCCUACUUAGAGAGAAUAGGACUAACUUUCAGAAAUCCAGGCAUUUUUCUACCUUUCAUACUAUCUUUCUUUCACUUUACUUCUCUUUUCUGUCUUUUAUCACUUCUUUCUUUCUUCAUUCUUUCUCUCUUUUGCCUGGAUCGAGAUUGUUAAGUCCCUCUCAGUGAAGGGUAAGAUUAUGAGAUCUGAGGGCUG